UCGAACGAUGAACCACUUCGGUGGGGAUUAGUGGCGAACGGGUGAGUAACACGUGGGCAAUCUGCCCUUCACUCUGGGACAAGCCCUGGAAACGGGGUCUAAUACCGGAUAACACUUCCCUCCUCCUGGAGGGUGGUUAAAAGCUCCGGCGGUGAAGGAUGAGCCCGCGGCCUAUCAGCUUGUUGGUGAGGUAAUGGCUCACCAAGGCGACGACGGGUAGCCGGCCUGAGAGGGCGACCGGCCACACUGGGACUGAGACACGGCCCAGACUCCUACGGGAGGCAGCAGUGGGGAAUAUUGCACAAUGGGCGAAAGCCUGAUGCAGCGACGCCGCGUGAGGGAUGACGGCCUUCGGGUUGUAAACCUCUUUCAGCAGGGAAGAAGCGAAAGUGACGGUACCUGCAGAAGAAGCGCCGGCUAACUACGUGCCAGCAGCCGCGGUAAUACGUAGGGCGCAAGCGUUGUCCGGAAUUAUUGGGCGUAAAGAGCUCGUAGGCGGCUUGUCACGUCGGGUGUGAAAGCCCGGGGCUUAACCCCGGGUCUGCAUUCGAUACGGGCUAGCUAGAGUGUGGUAGGGGAGAUCGGAAUUCCUGGUGUAGCGGUGAAAUGCGCAGAUAUCAGGAGGAACACCGGUGGCGAAGGCGGAUCUCUGGGCCAUUACUGACGCUGAGGAGCGAAAGCGUGGGGAGCGAACAGGAUUAGAUACCCUGGUAGUCCACGCCGUAAACGGUGGGAACUAGGUGUUGGCGACAU
rnacentral:rRNA from 1 species